AACAUCUUUUGUGUGUUUGAGAAAGCUUAUGUUCUUACAGAGCAGAAACUGUCCAAGGAGUGGGACACUUAUCAAACAAACGCUUUAGUUCCUGUCUGGCAGCUGAAGGAGGAUUUGAAACUCAAACUGUCUCAAGUGCAGCGUUACCUCUCAAAAGAAUCUUGUCAGAAGCCCAAGAUCAAUUCAGCUGAGGUGUUACAGCAGAUCAAGUUUAUGAAGAAUCAACAGAAGGCAAUUUUGGAAGGUCUCAUCCUUGAAAGUGUGGCUUUGGAAAGAGAGCUCGAAGAGUACAAAGAAAAUGCAUUGGUGCACUCUUCUGAAGAGAAAAACGGGCUUUUCCUUGAAGUUCCUCCCGAGCUGGUGUCGCUGGAGUGCCCCUGCCCUGACCUGCAGGCCUUGCUGAUGGAGGAGUACCAGGAGCUCGCCAGGGGCUACGGGGCCAAGCUCCAGGAGGUGGAGCAGCAGCUGGAGGCUCUGUCCAGGUACUGCCACACCUGUGCAGGGAUGAGCUGUGCACCUGGGGUGUGCUCUGGGGAGGCUCUGUGCAGGUACUGCCCUGUUCUGUGCAGGGAUGAGCUGUGCACCUGGGGUGUGCUGUGGGUGGCUGUGCCACUCGCUGUGGCUCUGCUCUGUGCAAGCAGGGGAGGCACUGCCCGGCCCUGGCCUUGGACAGUGGGUGCUCUCACAGCUGCAGUGAAGCAGGC
rnacentral:lncRNA from 14 species